CGGCGAAUGGGUGAGUAACACGUAUGCAACUUACCUCUUAGUGGUGAAUAACCCGAUGAAAGUCGGACUAAUACACCAUAUACUCCUUAGAUCCCAUGAGAAGAGGAGGAAAGAUUAAUCGCUAAGAGAUGGGCCUGCGUUCCAUUAGCUAGUUGGUAAGGUAACGGCUUACCAAGGCAACGAUGGAUAGGGGGACUGAGAGGUUGACCCCCCACAUUGACACUGAGAUACGGGUCAAACUCCUACGGGAGGCAGCAGUGAGGAAUAUUGGUCAAUGGGCGAGAGCCUGAACCAGCCAAGUCGCGUGAAGGAAGACUGCCCGCAAGGGUUGUAAACUUCUUUUGUAUGGGAUUAAAGUCACCUACGUGUAGGUGUUUGCAGUUACCAUACGAAUAAGCAUCGGCUAACUCCGUGCCAGCAGCCGCGGUAAUACGGAGGAUGCGAGCGUUAUCCGGAAUUAUUGGGUUUAAAGGGUGCGUAGGUUGCAAGGGAAGUCAGGGGUGAAAAGCUGUAGCUCAACUAUGGUCUUGCCUUUGAAACUCUCUAGCUAGAGUGUACUGGAGGUACGUGGAACGUGUGGUGUAGCGGUGAAAUGCAUAGAUAUCACACAGAACUCCGAUUGCGCAGGCAGCGUACUACAUUACAACUGACACUGAAGCACGAAAGCGUGGGUAUCCAACAGGAUUAGAUACCCUGGUAGUCCACGCAGUAAACGAUGAAUACUAGAUCUAUGCGAUAUACAGUAUGGGUCUAAGCGAAAGCGAUAAGUAUUCCACCUGGGGAGUACGCCGGCAACGGUGAAACUCAA
rnacentral:rRNA from 1 species